rnacentral:rRNA from 1 species
GGAAAAGAAACCAACAGGGAUUGCCCUAGUAACGGCGAGUGAACAGGCAAGAGCUCAGAUUUGAAAGGCACUUUUGUGCCGUUGUAUUCUGAAGUUAGGGUCCUGAGAAACGAUGCUUAAGUCUUCUGGAAAGGAGCGCCAUGGAGGGUGAUAGCCCCGUCUAGCAUUGACCUCAUAUAGGAUCUUAACAUGGAGUCGAGUUGUUUGGGAAUGCAGCUCAAAUGGGUGGUAUGCUCCAUCUAAAGCUAAAUAUCUGCGAGAGACCGAUAGUAAACAAGUACUGUGAGGGAAAGAUGAAAAGAACUUUGAAAAGAGAGUGAAAAAGUACGUGAAAUUGUUGAAAUGGAAGGGUAGGCCGCUAACCAUGUAGAGCCGUGUUUGGGGGGAAGAUAAAUGCUGUAGAAUGUAGCUCCUCGGAGUAUUAUAGAUGCAGUUCAUAUUCCCACCCGAGCGCGAGGAUCUCAGGUUCUACUAAAUGGUGGUCUACCACCCGUCUUGAA